UUUUUUUUUUGGUUCAUAUGUGUGAUGUCUGGGUAUUCAUACCACCCCAUGACAUGUGUCUCCCAUAAACCUUGUAUAUCAUGACAUUAUCCAUCUGAUA